GACGAACGCUGGCGGCGUGCUUAACACAUGCAAGUCGAGCGGGAAACUUCGGUUUCCAGCGGCGGACGGGUGAGUAACACGUGGGCAACCUGCCUCACAAUGAGGGAUAGCCCUCCGAAAGGAGGAUUAAUACCUCAUAACACAAGAGAAACGCAUGUUUCUCUUGCCAAAGAAUUUCGUUGUGAGAUGGGCCCGCGGCGCAUUAGCUUGUUGGUGAGGUAACGGCUCACCAAGGCUUCGAUGCGUAGCCGACCUGAGAGGGUGAUCGGCCACAUUGGAACUGAGACACGGUCCAGACUCCUACGGGAGGCAGCAGUGGGGAAUAUUGCACAAUGGAGGAAACUCUGAUGCAGCAACGCCGCGUGAGUGAUGAAGGUCUUCGGAUUGUAAAGCUCUGUCUUCUGGGACGAUAAUGACGGUACCAGAGGAGGAAGCCACGGCUAACUACGUG
rnacentral:rRNA from 1 species